rnacentral:lncRNA from 1 species
GGGGAUGUCAGUUACAGGUGUUAGAGAAUAUCGGACUGAAGCUGUCUAGAAUUAAUUGCUUAGCAUAACUUGCUUAGCAUUAGUAGCUAAAUUUGCUGAAGCCUUAGGCCUCAGGCUGUGAACUUUUACUUAGAUAAGUAAAAGGGGGCCCCAGAGCUCGUUCAAGCUGGAGGGAUAAAGAAGCUGCACGGACAGCAGGAGUAGCCAACCUUGAAGAUAAGCAGCAGCCUGCCUAGAGACAAUGAAGGGGCCCAAGGAAGAAGGGGAAGAACCCAGACCUGACUAUUACUAUUGGUCCAAACUAUCGCUUAAGGGGUGGGGAAUUUAGAUUGUAAGGGUAUAACUGCCCAGGGAUUUCUUUGUUCGGGGUCCCUCUUUGGAGGCACCCAGCUCGAGCUGUAAUUACCGCACAUGUAUCAUUACAUUUUAUUUCUCUUCAGUCUGACUUCGAACUUCUGCCUCAGCAGGAACCUAGGGUUGGACCCUGUUAUGGAGGCCGGCGAGCCCGAUUUUCCAUAACACAGGAACGUGCCGAGAGGUGCGGUGGCGCGCGCGGGGGCCUUGGCAAGCCACAUGCGGCGCGGGUUCGCGGCCUGCGAUCGCACCUGCCCUCACUCCGUGUGGGACGAGGCAGCCGGGCAGACGUGGGCCAGGGCCAGGGCCAGGCCGGCGUUUUAGGACCGAGUUGCGCUGCAGCGUGUCAUUACUGUGACUUACCAAGAUGCAAGACACCUCUAGCUUCUGCAUCACUUCAAUUUGUGGUUAAGAAUGUCUCAGAGAGAUGAAUGUACAGCCUACAGCACUCCAGGAGGUAAGGAAUGCAGAGCAGUUCUCUCCCCUCCUUCACUGAUAGCUACAGUUUGUAGAAGAUAGUUACUAUGUUAGUCAAACUCUCAAAAUGCCUAACCCCUUAAUUUCUUAAGGGACAGAGAAAGAAACACUGAGUAUCUGGAUAGAUUAUCAGCUGUAGGUAAGAUUGUAAAGAUGAACUGCUCAGAUAAGGCAGUUCUAGAUAUGCACACAUAUGCAGUCUACAAAGCAGAGGAGCUUUAAAUCAGCCUCUGUAGAAACUUUGUAUUACCAUGAUUGAGUAGCUUCUGAAAAAAGCUUCUUUUGCUAGUUUAUUCCCUGACUACAGAUCUGGACUUGCAACUGAAUUCCAUAAAAGACCUAGAAAUGAUGUUCCACGUGUUGUCUUGGUGGCAGCACUUUCUAUGAUUGCCUCUAAACUCACAUCCUAGCACUUCAGUCUGAUUUUUUGAUUCUUUCAGUGAACAGGCAGAUGGCCCUUCAUUUAGAAAUAUCAUUAGCAGAACAAAAUGUUGAAAAAUGACAGCUAGUAUCUUACAAGGGGUUCCCCUAUGAAGAGCUUGGUAAAGGGAGUGUAAGGACAGGAGGUGGUUUGAGUGGAAGUGACUUGAAACCAGUAGAGAACAUCAAAAGAAAAAAAGAGACUAUACCAGCUGCUGCACAUCCUUUCAACUAUCAGUGUUGAAAAAACAACACAAGAACAUUAAUGUGCACUGUGAGAAAGAACUGAAACAUAAACAUUUCUUUUUAUCCUGAGUCACUGUUCAGUGUGAACACAGCAACCAGAGAAUGAGCCUUGUAGAAAUAUGGAGAACAUCCUUCACCAUAUUGAUCACUUGCUAGUUUCAUUGCUCAAAAUGAAAAAAAUCUGACAAAUGUGUAAAUGUUCUUUUCCAUCAGUCUGCUAAUAUGACCAAACAUAAGCUAUACAAAUCUCUCAAAAAUACUGUAACUACUGAGAUGGACAUACAAAAGAGCAUUACAUAUGAAGACAACAGAGUAACAAUGAGCUCUCCUGAGAGUAAAGCCCUAUUGGAGUAAAAGCUUCUACCCUAAAAAUCGGAGAUGGUGACCUAAAAAUCAGGCUGACAAACCUGACAUGACAUCACAACAACUAAAGAGCAGAUGGAACGUACACAGUGACGUCAAGCCUACACAGUGGAGGGAUACCAGGAAAGUGUCUCUGUAGGUUAUGAGGAAAAGAAGAGAGAAGACUGCCAAGACUAUAACCAAAGACAUCUUCAGGAUCAGGUGUUUUAUGUCAUUUCUUUCAUCUUUCCUCUCACUCCCCUCCAGACUUGCCUUGUACCUUCAAACAAGCAAUCUGUGAGGGAAAGAAAACAUCCUCAUUUCUAUAGUGGUAUAGAAACUUCUGAAACCUCAGAAGUUUUACUCUACCCUGCAAUAAACAGAAGCAUGCAUGAAGUGGCA